CCUACGGGAGGCUGCAGUGGGGAAUAUUGGACAAUGGGGGGAACCCUGAUCCAGCCAUGCCGCGUGUGUGAAGAAGGCCCUCGGGUUGUAAAGCACUUACAGUGAGGAAGAACGCCUGGUGGUUAAUACCCAUCAGGAAAGACAUCACUCACAGAAGAAGCACCGGCUAACUCCGUGCCAGCAGCCGCGGUAAUACGGAGGGUGCGAGCGUUAAUCGGAAUUACUGGGCGUAAAGCGCGCGUAGGUGGCUUGAUAAGCCGGUUGUGAAAGCCCCGGGCUCAACCUGGGAACGGCAUCCGGAACUGUCAAGCUAGAGUGCAGGAGAGGAAGGUAGAAUUCCCGGUGUAGCGGUGAAAUGCGUAGAGAUCGGGAGGAAUACCAGUGGCGAAGGCGGCCUUCUGGACUGACACUGACACUGAGGUGCGAAAGCGUGGGUAGCAAACAGGAUUAGAUACCCCGGUAGUC
rnacentral:rRNA from 1 species